rnacentral:tRNA from 1 species
GGUGGCUCAGUGGUAGAGUGCUUGCCUUGCUUGCAUGAGGCCCUGUGUUUGAUUCUCAGCACCA